CGCUGCUGCAACUUCAGCUUUCGUCCUGUGCCUCGGCAGUGAGGAAAGGGGACAAAACUGCCACAAUUGUAUUUUAAUUUUGAGGUGUGGUAUUUUUAGAUAUGUCAUAAUUUCUAGCUUCUUUCAGUAAAUGGAAUUAUGAUCAUGCAAAUACAAUUUUAGUAUUUGUUUUUUUAUGAAUAUUUUUUUGCCAGCUGACUUAAUAACAUUGCUAUCAUGUGGAAAUUUCAAGCAUUUUUGCCCAUUUCGUUCACUGUUUGUUGAGAAUCCAUGGCUUAACUCACUUCUUUUCAUGUGUACCACACCUUUGUAAACCCUUUGAAGAUGCUGAAGAAAUGUGUCUGAGAUGUUCUCUGCAUCAGUCUGUACGUCUUUGGCUGUCGAGUGUUUCUGCAUGGUCAUGUCACCUAAAGCUGAUGCUGAUUUGUUGGCCCACUUAUAUUUAAAAUGUGCAAGGAAAAUAUGAAAUACUUUGCUGUAGCAAAUUUUAUGUAAUAAAUAUCAUGUUAAUAAAUCUAAAACAUCAUUUGUAUAAAAUAAUUUAGGUUUUUUGUAUUUCAUUUAGACCCAAGAACAUGCUGAUCAUGUA
rnacentral:lncRNA from 1 species